GCAGAGUUUGGAUCUGGCUCAGGACGAACGCUGGCGGCGUGCCUAAUACAUGCAAGUCGAGCGGACAGAUGGGAGCUUGCUCCCUGAUGUUAGCGGCGGACGGGUGAGUAACACGUGGGUAACCUGCCUGUAAGACUGGGAUAACUCCGGGAAACCGGGGCUAAUACCGGAUGCUUGUUUGAACCGCAUGGUUCAAACAUAAAAGGUGGCUUCGGCUACCACUUACAGAUGGACCCGCGGCGCAUUAGCUAGUUGGUGAGGUAAUGGCUCACCAAGGCAACGAUGCGUAGCCGACCUGAGAGGGUGAUCGGCCACACUGGGACUGAGACACGGCCCAGACUCCUACGGGAGGCAGCAGUAGGGAAUCUUCCGCAAUGGACGAAAGUCUGACGGAGCAACGCCGCGUGAGUGAUGAAGGUUUUCGGAUCGUAAAGCUCUGUUGUUAGGGAAGAACAAGUACCGUUCGAAUAGGGCGGUACCUUGACGGUACCUAACCAGAAAGCCACGGCUAACUACGUGCCAGCAGCCGCGGUAAUACGUAGGUGGCAAGCGUUGUCCGGAAUUAUUGGGCGUAAAGGGCUCGCAGGCGGUUCCUUAAGUCUGAUGUGAAAGCCCCCGGCUCAACCGGGGAGGGUCAUUGGAAACUGGGGAACUUGAGUGCAGAAGAGGAGAGUGGAAUUCCACGUGUAGCGGUGAAAUGCGUAGAGAUGUGGAGGAACACCAGUGGCGAAGGCGACUCUCUGGUCUGUAACUGACGCUGAGGAGCGAAAGCGUGGGGAGCGAACAGGAUUAGAUACCCUGGUAGUCCACGCCGUAAACGAUGAGUGCUAAGUGUUAGGGGGUUUCCGCCCCUUAGUGCUGCAGCUAACGCAUUAAGCACUCCGCCUGGGGAGUACGGUCGCAAGACUGAAACUCAAAGGAAUUGACGGGGGCCCGCACACGGGACAUGUGGUUUAUUCGAAGCAACGCGAAGAACCUUACCAGGUCUUGACAUCCUCUGACAAUCCUAGAGAUAGGACGUCCCCUUCGGGGGCAGAGUGACAGGUGGUGCAUGGUUGUCGUCAGCUCGUGUCGUGAGAUGUUGGGUUAAGUCCCGCAACGAGCGCAACCCUUGAUCUUAGUUGCCAGCAUUCAGUUGGGCACUCUAAGGUGACUGCCGGUGACAAACCGGAGGAAGGUGGGGAUGACGUCAAAUCAUCAUGCCCCUUAUGACCUGGGCUACACACGUGCUACAAUGGACAGAACAAAGGGCAGCGAAACCGCGAGGUUAAGCCAAUCCCACAAAUCUGUUCUCAGUUCGGAUCGCAGUCUGCAACUCGACUGCGUGAAGCUGGAAUCGCUAGUAAUCGCGGAUCAGCAUGCCGCGGUGAAUACGUUCCCGGGCCUUGUACACACCGCCCGUCACACCACGAGAGUUUGUAACACCCGAAGUCGGUGAGGUAACCUUUAUGGAGCCAGCCGCCGAAGGUGGGACAGAUGAUUGGGGUGAAGUCGUAACAAGUUAACCGUAA
rnacentral:rRNA from 1 species